rnacentral:rRNA from 1 species
CACGUAGGGUGCGAGCGUUGUCCGGAAUUAUUGGGCGUAAAGAGCUCGUAGGCGGUGUGUCGCGUCGGCCGUGAAAACCUGCAGCUUAACUGUGGGCUUGCGGUCGAUACGGGCAUCACUGGAGUUCGGCAGGGGAGACUGGAAUUCCUGGUGUAGCGGUGAAAUGCGCAGAUAUCAGGAGGAACACCGGUGGCGAAGGCGGCUUCCUGGCCUGCAACUGACGCUGAGACGCGAAAGCGUGGGGAGCGAACCGG